GAUGAACGCUGGCGGCGUGCCUAAUACAUGCAAGUCGAGCGAAUGGAUUAAGAGCUUGCUCUUAUGAAGUUAGCGGCGGACGGGUGAGUAACACGUGGGUAACCUGCCCAUAAGACCGGGAUAACUCCGGGAAACCGGGGCUAAUACCGGAUAACAUUUUGAACCGCAUGGUUCGAAAUUGAAAGGCGGCUUCGGCUGUCACUUAUGGAUGGACCCGGGUCGCAUUAGCUAGUUGGUGAGGUAACGGCUCACCAAGGCAACGAUGCGUAGCCGACCUGAGAGGGUGAUCGGCCACACUGGGACUGAGACACGGCCCAGACUCCUACGGGAGGCAGCAGUAGGGAAUCUUCCGCAAUAGACGAAAGUCUGACGGAGCAACGCCGCGUGAGUGAUGAAGGCUUUCGGGUCGUAAAACUCUGUUGUUAGGGAAGAACAAGUGCUAGUUGAAUAAGCUGACACCUUGACGGUACCUAACCAGAAAGCCACGGCUAACUACGUGCCAGCCGCCGCCGUAA
rnacentral:rRNA from 1 species